CCCCCCCCCCCCUCGGCAACUUUUUCGGUAAAAAAUGUUUUGGACAAUAACAUUACAAUUGCUUUCGUAGCACUUUUCCCGAUUUCCGUAUCACUUUUUCCGAUGCUUCACCACGAAGAUUCCGACAACAUUAGAGAGUUUGAGCAAGAGAACAAAGUCGGACAACGACGACCACGUGGACCCUGGUUGACAAUUUUUGCCUGUCUUGCACAUUAUCUUACGCAUUCUGAGUUUAGAAUGAGGUGUGAAGACAGAUUAGAGAUUUAUGUCUAGCUGUUUAUGAAUGCUGACCCAAAUCCUUACCCUGAUCAGGACAAAACAGCGAGACAUGAAUCCAUAUCUCGUCUAGUCUUCGUUCUUCUGCCUUCGUUCACAACAAAAAAUUCGCAAAAAUUUUCGCAAAAUUCGCUGUGAACUUCGUUCCGAACGAAGGCAGAGGGACAAAGACUGGAUAUAGUUUCAUGUCUCGCUGCUUUUUUCUGGGUCAGGGCAAGAAUUAGGGUCAGUAU